rnacentral:rRNA from 1 species
GAUGAACGCUGGCGGCGUGCUUAACACAUGCAAGUCGAACGGACAGGCUCCUACUUUCCUGGUUACUCGAUUGGCGAACGGGUGUGUAUCACGCGUGUGAACUGCCCUGCACUUCGGGAUAUGCCUUGGAAACUGGGUCUAAUACCGGAUAGGACAAUGUUUUGGAUGCCAUUCUGGAGAGAUGUUCGGUGUUGGUUGGGCUCGCGGCUAAUCCGCUUCUUAGUGGGGUAAUGGCCUACCAAGGCGGCGACCGGUAGCCGGCCUGAGAGGCGGUACGGCCACAAUGGGACUGAGAGACGGCCCAGACGGGAAUGGGAGGCAGCGGUGGGGAAUCUGACGGAAUGGGCGCAAGCCUGAGGUAGAGACGUCGGGAGCGUAAUGACGGCCUUUGGGUUGUAAACACCUGUCGAAGGAAACGUAGCGGAAGUGACGGUACCUAGAGAGGAAGCACCGGCUAACUACGUG